UACGUAGGGGGCAAGCGUUAUCCGGAUUCACUGGGUGUAAAGGGAGCGUAGACGGCAAGGCAAGUCUGAAGUGAAAGCCCGGUGCUUAACGCCGGGACUGCUUUGGAAACUGUUUGGCUGGAGUGCCGGAGAGGUAAGCGGAAUUCCUAGUGUAGCGGUGAAAUGCGUAGAUAUUAGGAAGAACACCAGUGGCGAAGGCGGCUUACUGGACGGUAACUGACGUUGAGGCUCGAAAGCGUGGGGAGCAAACAGG
rnacentral:rRNA from 1 species